CGCCUGGGGAGCCGGCAGCGGGUGCUUGUGGGGUUUGGGGGCGUCCAGCCACGGUCCAGGCCCCCUCCCCCACACCGGACUGCCUGCUCUGGCCGGUUUCUGUUGUCCCCCCACGGCUGGCAUGUGCGAAGGGCGGGUCUCUGAAGUCCUGGGGCCUGUGCCCUGGCAGGUUGAGGUCAUGGAUGUGAACGCGGAAAGAGAGAAGAUAGCGAAGGAGAUUGCAGAGCUCGAGCGGAUCCUGGACCCCAGCUCCUCGGGCGUCGGAGUGGGCAUCUCAGCAUCCGGCCUGGGCUUGGAUUCCGACGCAGAUUCGCUGCCAGACGAAGACUCGGAGGCUGCGGGAUCCCCAGGCUCGGAAGAGGAGCGGUGGGGUGAGGCCAGCAACGGGGAGGAUGACCCCAAGGACAAGACCCUCCCCGAAGACCCAGAGACCUGCCUGCAGUUGAACAUGGUCUACCAGGAGGUCAUCCAGGAGAGGCUGGCGGAGGUCAGCCUCCUGCUGGCCCAGAACCGGGAGCAGCAGGAGGAGAUCCUGUGUGACCUGGCAGGGUCCAAAGGCCCCAAGGCAAAGGACGGCAAGAGCCUGCCCCCGAGUCUGUACAUAGGGCACUUCAUGAAGCCCUACUUCAAGGACAGGCUGACCGGAGUGGGGCCUCCUGCCAACGAAGAGACUCGGGAGAAGGCCGCCCAGGGCAUCAAGGCUUUCGAGGAGCUCCUGGUGACUAAAUGGAAGAACUGGGAAAAGGCUUUGCUCCGAAGGUCGGUGGUCAGUGACCGCCUGCAGCGCCUGCUUCAACCCAAGUUACUGAAGCUUGAGUACUUGCACCAGAAACGGAGUAGGGUGACAAGCGAGGCAGAGCGGCAGGUCCUGGAGAAGCAGAGCAAGGAGGCAGAGAGGGAGGUCCAGGAGAUCCGGCAACUCCCAGAGGAGACCUUGCUGGGGAAUAGGCUGGACAGCCACGACUGGGAGAAGAUUUCCAAUGUCAACUUCGAGGGUGGCCGCAGUGCGGAGGAGAUCCGGAAAUUCUGGCAGAACUGGGAGCAUCCGAGCAUCAACAAGCAGGAGUGGAGCAGGCAAGAGGUGGACCAGCUGAAGGCCAUCGCAGCCCAGCAUGGCCACCUGCAGUGGCAGAAGAUCGCCAAAGAGCUGGGGACCAACCGCAGCGCCUUCCAGUGCCUGCAGCAGUACCAGCAGCACAACAAGGCCCUGAAGCGCAAGGAAUGGACACACGAGGAGGACCGCCUGCUCGCCCAGCUCAUUCGGGAGAUGCGCGUCGGCAGCCACAUCCCCUACCGGAGGAUUGUCUACUACAUGGAAGGGAGGGACUCCAUGCAGCUCAUCUAUCGGUGGACCAAGAGCCUGGACCCGAGCCUGAAGAAGGGGUUCUGGGCCCCCGAGGAAGACGCGAAGCUGCUUCAAGCAGUUGCGAAGUACGGGCAGCAGGACUGGUUUAAAAUCCGGGAAGAGGUGCCAGGUAGGAGCGAUGCCCAGUGCCGAGACCGGUAUGUGCGGCGGCUGCAGGCUGGCUUGAAGAAGGGCCGGUGGGCUGCCAGCGAGGAGGGGAAGCUGCUCGAGCUGAUCGACAAGCACGGCGUCGGUCACUGGGCAAGGAUAGCGUCUGAGCUGCCCCACCGGACGGGCUCCCAGUGUCUGAGCAAGUGGAAGAUCAUGGUCAGGAAGAAGCAGAGUCGGGGGAGGAGGAGACGGAGGCCCCUUCGCAGCGUGCGGUGGAGCUCCAGCAGUGGGGACAGCAGCAGCGGGGACAGCGGUGGCGAGGGCGGAGGCAGUGGCAGCAGCAGCAGCAGCAGCAGGGACAGUGAGGGCUCGGAGCCAGAGGAAGCCCUGGAGGCCCGGGCGGGUGACCAGGAGCUCCCAUCGGCUCAGCACACCGUGCCGGACAUGGACCUGUGGGUGCCUGCCAGGCAGAGCACCAGUGAACCGUGUGGAGGGGGAGCCCAAGGCUGGCCAGGACGCCGUGCUGCCUCCCCCCACCCUCCCAGGGGCUCCAGCGAGGCUCAGGAGAGCAGCAGAGCCAGUCGCCCCACUGAGGAGGCGGGCCAGGCAGACACUCCCUCUGACACCCACAGCACCAGCACGAGAGGCAUCGGGUGCCCAGACUCAGCGGACGCUGACGUCUCAAACUCAGAGGAGCCAGCAGACAAGAGCGGGAGUCGUCUGCUGAAGGUGCCGCUGGAGACCGUGCUGCAGGUGCUCAGGACCAACACAGCCCGCCGGCGCCAGACGCUGGAGAAACUGAGGCAGCCGUGCCUGCUCAGCUCAUCCCUGGGGACCAGCGCCAGUGACGGUGUGGCCGGGCCCCCUGUACGGCAGCUGUGGCACAGGACGAUUGGGAGCAGGCGGCGGUGGCGGGGACAUGCCCUACAGAGGAGGCUCCUUGAGCGUCAACUUCUGAUGGCCGUGAGCCCAUGGGUGGGUGACGUCAUCCUGCCGUGCUUCCCCCGGAGGCCUGCCACCGUACACACCCGAGCCGAUGGCAUCCGGAAGCAGCUGGAGGAAGCCCGGCUGGCCAGCACCCCUGCGUUCACCCUCUUUAUCCAGUUGCUCCAGAUCGAUACUGCUGGCUGCAUGGAGGUCGUUCGGGAGAGGAAGGCCCAGACUCCUGCCCUGCUCCAGACUGGCGCUCGGGACCCAGCGCCUGGGCUGCUGCAGAUGUCACCGUCACAGGACGCCGCAGGCCGCGGCCUCCGGAACCUGCCAGCGCAGGAAGCUGCAAGGCAGAGCACCAGCCAAAAAGGGAGCAGGGGGUUGCGGCCCUGCCGAGCUGAGUCCAGUCCGCAGGCGCCCCUGCCGGCUCUGUGCGGCCCUCGCCCCAAGCCCAAGACUGUCUCCGAGCUGCUGCGGGAGAAGCGGCUUCGAGAGGCCCGGGCCAGGAAGGCCACCGUAGGCACCGUGGCGCUCCCGCCACAGCUGCUGCUCUCGCCACUCGUGCUCCAGCCCCGUCUCCCAGAGGCGACCCCUAACCCCGCGGCCUCGGGCCCCGCUGCCGCAGACCCUGCAGCCAGGGGACUGAGCGCGUCAGCGGAGGACAAGCAGCCCUCCGCCCUGCCCGUCGGGGCCCGCGGCCUGGCCUCCACAGAGGCAGCUCCUGCGGCCUGCGGAGCUCUGGUUCCCAGCCAGGUCCUGGUGAGCGGCCAUCAGGGCGGCCUGGGACAAUCUCAGGCCCCCGCCGCAUCCCGGAAGCAGGGCCUGCCGGGGGUGCCACUCUUCCUCCCUGCCAGCCCCAGCCCCGUUCAGCUGCCGGUCCAGCCCCUCGGCCUGACGCCAGCUCUGGCCACGCACAAGGGCGGGCCACACGUGGCAGCCAGCACCUCUCUGCCUGUCACCUGGGUGCUCACAGCCCAGGGACUGCUCCCAGUGCCAGCUGUGGUGGGCCUUCCUGGGCCAGCAGGGAUCUCUGACCCCAAAGGACUGUCAGUGCCUCUGCUGCCCACGCUGCCUGGGAUGCAGGCAGGCCAGGGCCCCAGGCCCCCUGGGCAGAGCCACCCUGGGCGGCCCCCAGCCAACGUGGACACAGGCUCAGAUCCUCCCUCUAGGACAGACCUCGCGACCCUUCCAAGGUUCUGCCAAUCCCAAAGUUCUGUGGAAGUGGGCAGUGACGGGUCCCAUGCCCAUGGGGGAUUGUCCUUCCCUGGAGAGGCCCAAGCGGCCAGGGAAAUAGCCGAGCCCAGGAUACCCUCUCAGACCAUGACAGCUGACCGCCCUGAAGCCAGACACCCCUCGUGCAGCCGGCCGCCUCUGCAAGCGGGCCCUGGCCCUGGGAGUGGCCCAGGAGGGACACCGGGGUCCCCAGGGCCAGGGGGACUCACAGGGCCUCUGGGCCUGGAAAGGCUCCCCCCACCCCGGCCUGGGGCUGAGAGGGGUACCCUGGACCUGGACCUCCUGUCCCAGGAGAGUGAGGCUGCCGUGCGGGAGUGGCUGAGGGGACAGCAGGGGGUGUGUGUGCCCCCUCUAGGGACCAGGCUGCCCUACCAGCCCCCGGCCUUGUGCGGCCUCCGGGCCUUGUCGGGACUCCUGCUCCACAAGAGGGCCUUGGAGCGGAGAGCCGCCUCCCUCACGUCCAGUGGGGCGGCUGGAGCCCUGCAGGCCUCACUGGGACGGGUGCACCGGCAGCUCCGGGACAGCCCGGCCUACCUGCUGCUGAAGGCCCGCUUCCUGGCCACUUUCACCCUCCCCGCACUCCUGGCCACCCUGUCUCCACACGGCGUCCCCACCACCCUGUCCGUGGCCACAAGGGCUGAGCCCGAGAGUGAGAGUGACCUGCAGGAGCUGGAGCUCAGAGAUGGCUGCUCCGCAGGAGGUCCUCAGGCCGGGCCGGCGGCCUCUCUCCCCCCUCAGGCUCUCCACUGGCAGUCACCUGUGUUCCUCGGCGCAGCCCUGCUGGCCUGGCUGGGAGAACCAGGACAUGGGACGCUGGCUCUGGCGUCACCAAGGGAAUUGGAGUCCCCAGGAAGCCCCAGACCCUGGGCAGGGCUCUUCCUGCCUAGACAGUUUUGACAACCUUGAUGUGCUGAGAACUCGGCAUGCCUGGCAUGCCCGGAAGAGGAGGCGGCUGGUGUGAGCGCAGGGAUGCAGGAGCUGUGCUGGACCCUCGUGAGCCCACCCACCCAGAGAGCCCCGCACCGACACUUCCGGAGAAACAGCCAAAGCAGCUGGAGGCUGGGGAGGCUCCACCAGCAGGGACCAUGUGACCACAGGGGUUGGCUGGCCCUCGGGCACAAAUCAGGAUGUUUGAAGGAAUAAAGGAAUAGCUAAUGUUUUUUAUUAAAA